AAGGUGAUACCUGGGGAGAGAGUUGUACCCCAGCAUAAGCUGGUGGUUGCUGACUUCCGCUUUCGGAUUCGUGUCCAGCGGGAUAAGCGUGCCAAGGUCGCUAGAACGAAGUGGUGGAAGCUCAAGGGGGAGGUAGCUCAGGUGUUCAAGGAGAGGGUCUUUAAGGAGGGCCCUUGGGAGGAAGGAGGGGAUGCGGACAAUGUGUGGAUGAAGAUGGCGACUUGCAUUCGUAAGGUGGCCUCGGAGGAGUUUGGAGUGUCCAGGGGAGGGAGAAGCGAAGAUAAGGAUACCUGGUGGUGGAAUGAUGAUGUCCAGAAGGCGCUUAAAGAGAAGAAAGAUUGCUUCAGACGCCUAUACCUGGAUAGGAGUGCAGACAACAUAGAGAAGUACAAGAUGGCGAAGAAGGCCGCAAAGCGAGUUGUUGGUGAAGCAAGGGGUCGGGCAUAUGAGGACCUCUACCAACGGUUAGGCACGAAGGAAGGUGAAAGGGACAUCUAUAAGAUGGCUAAGAUUCGGGAGAGGAAGACGAGGGAUAUUGGCCAAGUCAAAUGCAUCAAGGACGGAGCAGGCCAACUCUUGGUGAAGGACGAAGAGAUUAAGCAUAGAUGGCGGGAGUACUUCGACAAGCUGUUCAAUGGGGAGAAUGAGAGUUCUACCAUUGAACUGAAUGACUCCUUUGAUGAGACCAGCAUGCGUUUUGUGCGGCGCAUCCAGGAGUCUGAGGUGAAGGAGGCUUUAAAAAGGAUGAAAGGAGGCAAGGCGAUGGGCCCUGAUUGUAUCCCCAUUGAGGUAUGGAAAGGUCUCGGGGACAUAGCGAUAGUAUGGCUAACCAAGCUUUUCAACCUCAUUUUUCGGGCAAACAAGAUGCCAGAAGAAUGGAGACGGAGUAUAUUAGUACCAAUCUUCAAGAACAAGGGGGAUGUUCAGAGUUGUACUAAUUACCGUGGAAUUAAGCUGAUGAGCCAUACAAUGAAGCUAUGGGAGAGAGUCAUUGAGCACCGCUUAAGAAGAAUGACAAGCGUGACCAAAAAUCAGUUUGGUUUCAUGCCUGGGAGGUCGACCAUGGAAGCCAUUUUCUUGGUACGACAACUUAUGGAGAGAUAUAGGGAGCAUAAGAAGGACUUGCAUAUGGUGUUCACUGACUUGGAGAAGGCCUAUGAUAAGAUACCGCGGAAUGUCAUGUGGUGGGCCUUGGAGAAACACAAAGUCCCAGCAAAGUACAUUACCCUCAUCAAGGACAUGUACAAUAAUGUUGUGACAAGUGUUCGAACAAGUGAUGUCGACACCGAUGACUUCCCGAUUAAGAUAGGACUGCAUCAGGGGUCAGCUUUGAGCCCUUAUCUUUUUGCAUUGGUGAUGGAUGAGGUCACAAGGGGUAUACAAGGAGAUAUCCCAUGGUGUAUGCUCUUUGCGGAUGAUGUGGUGCUAGUUGGCGAUAGUCGGAUGGGGGUAAAUAGGAAGUUAGAGUUAUGGAGACAAACCUUGGAAUCGAAAGGGUUUAGGCUUAGUAGAACUAAAACCGAGUACAUGAUGUGUGGUUUCAGUACUACUAGCUAUGAGGAGGAGGAGGUUAGCCUUGAUGGCCAGGUGGUACCUCGGAAGGACACCUUUCGGUAUUUGGGGUCAAUGUUGCAGGAGGAUGGGGGUAUUGAUGAAGAUGUGAACCAUCGAAUCAAAGCCGGAUGGAUGAAGUGGCGCCAAGCUUCUGGCAUUCUCUGUGACAAGAGAGUGCCACAAAAGCUAAAAGGCAAGUUCUACAGGACGGCAGUUCGACCCGCAAUGUUGUAUGGC
rnacentral:rRNA from 1 species